UACGAAGGGGGCUAGCGUUGCUCGGAAUCACUGGGCGUAAAGCGCACGUAGGCGGAUUCCUAAGUCGGGGGUGAAAUCCUGGAGCUCAACUCCAGAACUGCCUUCGAUACUGGGAAUCUUGAGUCCGGAAGAGGUGAGUGGAACUGCGAGUGUAGAGGUGAAAUUCGUAGAUAUUCGCAAGAACACCAGUGGCGAAGGCGGCUCACUGGUCCGGUACUGACGCUGAUGUGCGAAAGCGUGGGGAGCAAACAGG
rnacentral:rRNA from 1 species